UACAUGGGGUGCAAACGUUGCUCGGAAUUAUUGGGCGUAAAGCGCACGUAGGCGGAUUGUUAAGUUAGGGGUGAAAUCCCAGGGCUCAACCCUGGAACUGCCUUUAAUACUGGCAAUCUCGAGUCCGAGAGAGGUGAGUGGAAUUCCGAGUGUAGAGGUGAAAUUCGUAGAUAUUCGGAGGAACACCAGUGGCGAAGGCGGCUCACUGGCUCGGUACUGACGCUGGAGGUGGCGAAAGCGGUGGGGAGCAAACAGG
rnacentral:rRNA from 1 species